rnacentral:rRNA from 1 species
CCUACGGGAGGCAGCAGUGAGGAAUAUUGGUCAAUGGGCGGAAGCCUGAACCAGCCAAGUAGCGUGCAGGAUGACGGCCCUACGGGUUGUAAACUGCUUUUAUACGGGAAUAACGCGCCUUACGUGUAGGGCUUUGCAUGUACCGUAUGAAUAAGGACCGGCUAAUUCCGUGCCAGCCGCCGCGGUAAUACGGAAGGUCCGUGCGUUCGCCAGAUUUAUUGGGUUUAAAGGGAGCGUAGGCCGCAUGUCAAGCGUGCUGUGAAAUGUCAGGGCUCAACCCGGGCCUUGCAGCGCGAACUGGCGUGCUAGAGUCCGCGGAAAGCAGGCGGAAUUCGUCGUGUAGCGGUGAAAUGCUUAGAUAUGACGAAGAACCCCGAUUGCGAAGGCAGCUUGCUGCAGCGGAACUGACGCUGAUGCUCGAAAGCGCGGGUAUCGAACAGGAUUAGAUACCCGGGUAGUC